ACGCCGAUCCAUUUGUCGGGGACUUGAGGUACUUGCAGAAAUGACUACACUUCUCAGUUGGUUUUAGUUCCACAGUUGCAGCUCUCGGUUUGAUGUUGACAAAAGUCCAAGGUUCUGAAUCAAGCAAAGCCGGCGUGGGAUUGCAUGCUUCAGCUGGUCAUCCGUGACCGCCUUUCGCACAAGUUUGUAAUUGGAGCACCUGGAGUGCAAACAGAUCAUGAUGGACAUCCUCGCCCAAAUGGGGUACGCACAUCUGCAACAGGUGGACGUGUCGGCUGAAGGCUUUCGUAUCAACUUAAUUCCAACAUUGUUUUCAUAAAUGUAA